rnacentral:rRNA from 1 species
CUGCAACUCGACUACAUGAAGCUGGAAUCGCUAGUAAUCGCGGAUCAGAAUGCCGCGGUGAAUACGUUCCCGGGUCUUGUACACACCGCCCGUCACACCAUGGGAGUCGGAAAUGCCCGAAGUCUGUGACCUAACCGAAAGGGAGGAGCAGCCGAAGGCAGGUCUGAUGACUGGGGUGAAGUCGUAACAAGGUAGC